GCGAUCCUGCGAGCGACCGUGUUCGCGAUCUCGGCAAAGAAGCUUUGAUCCCGAUCCGCGGGUGAUCGUGUUCGCAAUCCCGGCGAAGAAGCUUCUCCAAAAGCAAGGCCUGAGCUCACGGGCUUUCCCGCCCGUUGCUAUGGAACUGAGGUUGAGAGGAUCUUGGUCCAUUGUCUGUGAGUCGGUGAACGUAGCGAAGGUAGUGAAUCCCCAGUCGUGUUUGGGAGACCUAAGAUUCGUUUGAGGUUUCAGACAAAAAUGAGACCAUAAAGAUUUGUCUCCUUCAAAAAAAUAUAGAUUUGCCCUCCACUUUCAGAUUGGUUUUCUUUGUGUUUAUCUGAGGAGAAAGUACCAUGAGAUAAUGGAGAUGAAUUACUUAUGAGCAAAGAAGUCUUGGAGACGGAUUGCUUGGAUGCUAGUCGCGGGCGGAUCGCAGGCAAUCCCAUGGAAUCGCGGGCGAUCACGAUCACGAUCAAUCUCCUUUCUUUGUCCCUGUUUCUCCCUACUUCUUUCUCCUUGUUUCUCUCUGUUUCCAUAAUAUUUAAAGGAGCUCUGCUGUUUGGGAUUGAAGAAUAUCCGUUGAUGUCUGAGAAAGUGAAACUGUUGUUUCUAAAUACCAUGGUUUCUGAAUGUUAAUUUGUAAAAUUCUUUUUCCUG